rnacentral:rRNA from 1 species
UACGUAGGGUGCGAGCGUUAAUCGGAAUUACUGGGCGUAAAGUGUGCGCAGGCGGCCAUGCAAGUCGAGUGUGAAAGCCCCGGGCUUAACUUGGGAAUUGCGCUCGAAACUACGUGGCUGGAGUGUGGCAGAGGAAGGUGGAAUUCCACGUGUAGCGGUGAAAUGCGUAGAGAUGUGGAGGAACACCGGUGGCGAAGGCGGCAUCCUGGACCGACACUGACGCUGAGGAGCGAAAGCCAGGGGAGCAAACGGG